UACUCUGGUUUCUCUCAGACUGUAUAAAUCUUUCGCCUUUUACUAAAGAUUUCCGUGGAAACUACCCAGCCAAGAAGCUGAACAAAC
rnacentral:snRNA from 1 species